AGAACGAACGCUGGCGGCAUGCCUAACACAUGCAAGUCGAACGAGACCUUCGGGUCUAGUGGCGCACGGGUGCGUAACGCGUGGGAAUCUGCCCUUGGGUUCGGAAUAACAGCGAGAAAUUGCUGCUAAUACCGGAUGAUGACGUAAGUCCAAAGAUUUAUCGCCAAGGGAUGAGCCCGCGUAGGAUUAGCUAGUUGGUGAGGUAAUGGCUCACCAAGGCGACGAUCCGUAACUGGUCUGAGAGGAUGAUCAGUCACACCGGAACUGAGACACGGUCCGGACUCCUACGGGAGGCAGCAGUGGGGAAUAUUGGACAAUGGGCGCAAGCCUGAUCCAGCAAUGCCGCGUGUGUGAAGAAGGCCUUCGGGUUGUAAGCACUUUAAG
rnacentral:rRNA from 1 species